CCGCAAAAUCCAAGCCGGCUGUGAGCCCCCCCUUGGCGGAGGGACAGCGCAGUGCUCGGGGGCGUCACGCCGCGACACGGAGGCCUCAGGCCGGCGGAGCGACGGGAGGCCGCGCGCUCUCAGAGCCUCGUUUCCCAGAGUCUCCAUGACGGAGGCAAACUGCACCUGACGGGGUCAGAGGUCACGCAGAGGUCAACACCAGUCCCGCAUGGGGAGGGCCGACGUAGUCACGGACACAUUGGCGAACAUGUGUUUAAAGCUGAGUGUCAUCAUGCAGCUCCUCACCAUCUUCUCCCCGCCGCCGGGCCGCUGGGGGCCCUCUUCGCUCCGGAUCUCCAGGUGGAGCUGGAAGGUGGAACUGUCCUCCACCAGCUUCUUCAGCUCGGCCACAGCCGC